ensembl:snoRNA SNORD115 Small nucleolar RNA SNORD115
GGGUCAAUGAUGACAACAGAAAGUCAAGAAGUGGAUGAUGACAUAAAAAUCAUGCUCAAUAGGAUUACGGUGAGGCCC